rnacentral:rRNA from 1 species
GGGAAUCUACCGUGCCCUGCGGAAUAGCUCCGGGAAACUGGAAUUAAUACCGCAUACGCCCUACGGGGGAAAGAUUUAUCGGGGUAUGUUGAGCCCGCGUUGGAUUAGCUAGUUGGUGGGGUAAAGGCCUACCAAGGCGACGAUCCAUAGCUGGUCUGAGAGGAUGAUCAGCCACAUUGGGACUGAGACACGGCCCAAACUCCUACGGGAGGCAGCAGUGGGGAAUAUUGGACAAUGGGCGCAAGCCUGAUCCAGCCAUGCCGCGUGAGUGAUGAAGGCCUUAGGGUUGUAAAGCUCUUUCACCGGAGAAGAUAAUGACGGUAUCCGGAGAAGAAGCCCCGGCUAACUUCGUGCCAGCAGCCGCGGUAAUACGAAGGGGGCUAGCGUUGUUCGGAAUUACUGGGCGUAAAGCGCACGCAGGCGGAUAUUUAAGUCAGGGGUGAAAUCCCAGAGCUCAACUCUGGAACUGCCUUUGAUACUGGGUAUCUUGAGUAUGGAAGAGGUAAGUGGAAUUGCGAGU